CUUGAUUGCUGGGCCCUGGUUGAACUCCUUAUUAGUAACACCCAGGUUAGUCCUACUUAAUUCUUACCUGCAGCCAAAGUGGACUUAGCAUCUCCUUGCAUGCCUGGUAAAGUCAAGGGUUUUCAGCCAGGGCCUGUGUAUAAAGCAGAAGCAGCACAGAGUCUGGUUUGAAGCUUAGUGCUUGGGUUCAGACAGUUGUGGGUUACAAUCCCUUCUACACAUGUUCUCUGUGGAAACCAUUUGGUUCUCUGUGCUUGGAACUCGCCUGCAACGGGACAAAGCCAUCUCACCUAGACUGUUGUUAUGAAGAUUGAAUUAGGUGAUUCUGAGAGGCAUUUAUGCGUCCUCCCUGAGUAACAAUCCAUGAAAAGUGGGCGUCAUUGCUGAAGCUCAAGGAAGAAAUAUGAAAUUUGAUUAUAUCCUUAUUCACGGCAUUGGGUCACCAACUCAGCACUUUUUAUGAAAGUAGCAUCUGACCUGGCAAAGGCUGUGUCAUCUUAUUACCUCAGAAAGACAAAUUUACGGGGUCAGACGAUGGAUGGCUUGUAGAUUUCUCAAUGGGCUGGAAGGAAGGAGAGAAAAAGAGAGACAGGAGAGAGUACACAUUUAAUUCUGCUUCCCCUAGGGUGAUAUUUCCUUCCUCCCCUUCCAGGGUUCUCAAAAAGGCAUUCUAGGAAGUCCUGUAAAAUACAUGCUCAUAAAAAUCUCAUAAUUUCCACAAAUUGUUGAGAAUUUAAAACUCGGUUGGGAGUUUGCUGUUUCAGCCUGAGACACCGGGGUCACGUUUCAGUGCCUGCAGUCUUGAGACAGUACCAGGCAUCUGGGAUGAAGCUGAGGAAAGAAGAUGUGGGGGCCCUGCUGGCCUGCUCCUUCUCUCGAAAGACGCUUACCGGCUGCUGGUGUGUCACAGGGCUUUAGGAUUUGGAAAAACAGAGGGAUUUAAAAGAAGAUAGAAUGGUCAGAAUUUCGAGAACUGUGUGCUGAAGUGCCAUCUUUAGGGUGCUCAUAACACGGCCUUACAACAUUAGAGGUGCUGGAAUCAUGGAAGAGGCAUCUGGACUCUGUAAUGUCCUUCCCCCUGGAAAAUCUGCUCCAGAAGUGGGGGAUUGGGAGCUGUCAACAUAUGAGCCAUCUUUUGCUCCGUUCAAGAUGGUAGGGGCAUUCUCAACAUGCCCCUCACUCUGAUUCUGCCUCACUUUUAUUUUAGAAUUUUCCACUGCCUUUUCUGGAAUGUGCUUUUUCAACCCUCAAAAUCUGUAGAGAAGAAAUAAGCAGAAACCGAAAUGGCUUUCUGGUGUUCUCCAUGCUCUCAGCUUACUGGAAAAUCGAGCCGCAGGCUCGAGGCUGGACUUUAAGGCAGAGCACUGCAAUUAUAGUGCUAUGGCCUUGGCUUCCUUUCUCAUCACCCAGGUACAGUCCUGCAGUCCUCAGAGGAUGCCAGUCCCACACAGGGGGAUCCUUCUCCAUAGGAAAACCGAGGAACAAUGCAGGUUCGAGGUGCACAGUGGCUAAGCACACUCAGUCCUCAAGAUCUUUCCUCUCAAAUGCUAAUGCUACCUUCAGAUGGGCUGCUGCCUGCUACCAUUUCAACAUUGAGUCCUUUAAGAUGCCAUCAGAGAGAGGGGAAGCAAGAGGCCAAGAAAAAUGAAAGGACAGCCAUCAUAGCUACAAAACAGAUGGAUGCGGUAACACAGAACACCAAAAACCUCCGCUUAAGACUCGGCUGGGAAAU
rnacentral:lncRNA from 1 species